rnacentral:rRNA from 1 species
UACGGGGGGGGCAAGCGUUGUUCGGAAUUACUGGGCGUAAAGGGCUCGUAGGCGGCCAACUAAGUCGGACGUGAAAUCCCCAGGCUCAACCUGGGAACUGCGUCCGAUACUGGAUGGCUUGAAUCCGGGAGAGGGAUGCAGAAUUCCAGGUGUAGCGGUGAAAUGCGUAGAUAUCUGGAGGAAUACCGGUGGCGAAGGCGGCAUCCUGGACCAUAACUGACGCUGAGGCGCGAAAGCUAGGGGAGCAAACGGG